rnacentral:rRNA from 1 species
UGAGGAAUAUUGGUCAAUGGGCGCAAGCCUGAACCAGCCAUCCCGCGUGCAGGAAGACAGUUCUAUGGAUUGUAAACUGCUUUUCUUGGGGAAGAAUAAUGACGACGUGUCGUCAGAUGACGGUACCCGAGGAAUAAGCAUCGGCUAACUCCGUGCCAGCAGCCGCGGUAAUACGGAGGAUGCAAGCGUUAUCCGGAUUUAUUAGGUUUAAAGGGUGUGUAGGCGGAUGUAUAAGUCAGUGGUGAAAGUCAGCAGCUUAACUGUAGAAUUGCCAUUGAUACUGUAUGUCUUGAGUGUGGUUGAGGUAUGCGGAAUGUGUAAUGUAGCGGUGAAAUGCAUAGAUAUUACACAGUACACCGAUUGCGAAGGCAGCAUGCUAAGCAACCACUGUCGCUGAUGCACGAAAGCGUGGGGAUCAAAGA